rnacentral:rRNA from 1 species
UACGAAGGGGGCUAGCGUUGCUCGGAAUCACUGGGCGUAAAGCGCACGUAGGCGGAUUCUUAAGUCGGUGGUGAAAUCCUGGAGCUCAACUCCAGAACUGCCUUCGAUACUGAGAGUCUCGAGUCCGGGAGAGGUGAGUGGAACUGCGAGUGUAGAGGUGAAAUUCGUAGAUAUUCGCAAGAACACCAGUGGCGAAGGCGGCUCACUGGCCCGGUACUGACGCUGAGGUGCGAAAGCGUGGGGAGCAAACAGG